rnacentral:rRNA from 1 species
ACCACACGAAGCUGGAAUCGCUAGUAAUCGCGAAUCAGCAUGUCGCGGUGAAUACGUUCCCGGGUCUUGUACACACCGCCCGUCACACCAUGGGAGUCAGCAACGCCCGAAGUCAGUGACCUAACCGAGAGGAAGGAGCUGCCGAAGGCGGGGCAGGUAAUUGGGGUGAAGUCGUAACAAGGUAUC